UCUCAGCUGAGCUGUAACGCAGAUCGACAGGAAAAUCUACAAGAGCUUCACGGUCUUUCCCGAAAAAUCCCAACAGGAGUUUGAUAGUAAAAAAAAAAAAAAAAAAAAAAAAAGAAGAAGAAGAAGAAGAAAAAGGAGAAAAAGCACCUAACUUGGUAUUCAUUUCUAAUGGGGGAGAACGUCCUUAAAUCCGCGGCAUCUGUUCCGCUGGGUUUGCUGUCAGUGAGCAGGUAUUGCGGUUAAUGAGCCACCAGCUUGCUGCUCCCAGGGCCAGGCUGGAGCAGUCAGCUGGUGCAGGGAUGGGACCUGCAAUCAGCAGCUGUGCACCGACAUGCCCCGGGACGGAAAAUGUGAUUUGUGACACAGCAGCUUGGGAAUAAUAAUGAAAACAUAAUUGCUCCGGGCGGAUGGCUCGCUGUCUUUCAAUUGCUAAGCUACUUCACCUCACAAGCGGGGAGCUGUGCUUCUCAGCUUUCAUUUCUCUGGGACAACCAAAGGCACAGCUCUCGGGUAUCCUGCUGCCCUUCUUAAUGAAUGUUUCCUUGAAUCCCUGAGAAGAGCUGCGUUCCCUCCCUGUUCCUCCAACCAGGAAAAUCUUUCCUCUGCUCCGACUUCGGCAGUAGCAGCCAGUCUGCUUAAGCAAAGGCCCUAGAGUCAUGGCUGUGACUUGUUCUCUGCUGCCUAUUAGUAUUGUUGGGGUUUGCUUUGCAUUCUGGGAAUUUUGUUUUUCCUAGCCCAUUCGCUUCAUUUAGACUUCACACCCACGCCUCUUAAACCAUUUCUCAUCAUGACUUUGGUCUUCAGGAGACUAUCGCCUUCGGGACGAUUAUUGCCUGUGUAGGAAUACUGGGAUGAAUAGAAUAGGAAUGCUACGAUGACCCAUGUCUAGAGUUUGCAUCUUCCAGUGAUGGAGGGCAGAGGACCCUAAGGAAGACCUCGCAGCAGCUUUGGUUUGAUCUCCCAAUUGGGGAAGUCCAGUCUCCUGGGUGUCAUGUUUGGGAUCUGAGAUCAGUCACUGGGUGAUGUGGGUGCUGUACCUCAUCCCCGGGGCAUCUGCCCUGGAGGGAUGGUGUGGGCGGCUGUUGUAGCUCCUCACAGGAUGCCCCCUGUGUACACAAACAAUUCUACCUCAUUUGUGCAGGGUGUUAUUGCUGCCAUGGGUUCUGGAUGGCUGACCCAUGACAAGUCGUUCAGUUUUUAAGUUUGGAUUGUUUGGGAGUUCAAUGCUAAAAGGAAGGGUUGUUCCCGCUAAAGAGGGUUGAAACUUCUUGUUUUCCCUUUCCCAGACUGAUCAUUUUGAGGCAAAUCUCCAGUGGAGAAGAAGGGGAGUCUGCAGUUGCUCCCUGUUGUGGUGAGAUUUAUGUGGAACACUUUGUAUUUAUGCUAUUUCUCUUUCACUUAC
rnacentral:lncRNA from 1 species